rnacentral:sRNA from 1 species
GCCGGGCAUGGUGACACACGCCUGUAAUCCCAGCUGCUCAGGAGGCUGAGGCAGGAGGAUCUAGAGUUCAAAGCCAGCCUCAGCAAAAGUGAGGCACUCAGCAACUCAGUGAGACCCUGACUCUA